rnacentral:tRNA from 7 species
GCCAACUUAGCUCAUUUGGUAGAGCAGCUGACUUGUAAUCUGCAGGUGGUGGGUUCGAAUCCCACAGUUGGCU